rnacentral:rRNA from 1 species
CCUACGUGAGGCAGCAGUGGGGAAUAUUGCGCAAUGGGCGAAAGCCUGACGCAGCGACGCCGCGUGAGGGAUGAAGGUCUUCGGAUCGUAAACCUCUGUCAGCAGGGAAGAACGGUCACUGUGCUAAUCAGCAGUGAAUUGACGGUACCUGCAAAGGAAGCACCGGCCAACUCCGUGCCAGCAGCCGCGGUAAUACGGAGGGUGCGAGCGUUAAUCGGAAUUACUGGGCGUAAAGCGCUCGUAGGCGGUAUGUCAAGUCAAGGGUGAAAUCCCCGCGCUCAACGUGGGAACUGCCUUUGAAUCUGGCAAACUGGAGUGUGUGAGAGGAUAGUGGAAUUCCAGGUGUAGGAGUGAAAUCCGUAGAUAUCUGGAGGAACAUCAGUGGCGAAGGCGACUAUCUGGCACAUAACUGACGCUGAGGAGCGAAAGCGUGGGUAGCAAACAGGAUUAGAUACCCCAGUAGUC